UACGUAGGGGGCCAGCGUUAUCCGGAUUCACUGGGUUUAAAGGGUGCGUAGGUGGGCUAGUAAGUCCGUGGUGAAAUCUCUGAGCUUAACUCGGAAACUGCCGUGGAUACUAUUAGUCUUGAAUCUCGUGGAGGUAAGCGGAAUAUGUCAUGUAGCGGUGAAAUGCUUAGAUAUGACAUAGAACACCGAUAGCGAAGGCAGCUUGCUACACGAGUAUUGACACUGAGGCACGAAAGCGUGGGGAUCAAACAGG
rnacentral:rRNA from 1 species